rnacentral:rRNA from 1 species
AUUGGACGCUGGCGGCAUGCCUUACACAUGCAAGUCGAACGGUAACAGGUUAAGCUGACGAGUGGCGAACGGGUGAGUAAUGUAUCGGAACGUGCCCAGUCGUGGGGGAUAACUACUCGAAAGAGUGGCUAAUACCGCAUACGAUCUGAGGGUGCAAGCGGGGGACCGUAAGGCAUCGAGCGAGUGGCGCGGCCGAUAUCAGAUUAGCUAGUUGGUGGGGUAAAAGCCCACCAAGGCGACGAUCUGUAGCUGGUCUGAGAGGACGACCGGCCACACUGGGACUGAGACACGGCCCAGACUCCUACGGGAGGCAGCAGUGGGGAAUUUUGGACAAUGGACGCAAGUCUGAUCCAGCCAUGCCGCGUGCGGGAAGAAGGCCUUCGGGUUGUAUACCGCUUUUGUCAGGGAAGAAACGAGUUUCUCUAAUACAGAGACUUAAUGACGGUACCUGAAGAAUAAGCACCGGCUAACUACGUGCCAGCAGCCGCGGUAAGAC